CUGGAAAUUUGCAAGCUGUCAUUCAACCCUAGCUAUAUAUAGAACUUGCUACCAUGGAGUGUGUAUUUAAAGAUUGUGAUACUGUCCCCUCUGGGACGAAUCAGUGAAGCAGUAAGUGAUCUCACUAAAGCUAUCCAACUGCAGCCAUCAGCACGACUCUAUUGACACAGGGGGACCUUGCAUUUCAUAUCAGAGGACUAUGCAACAGCCCAUGAAGACUUUCAGCAAUCUUUAGAACUGAACAAAAAUCAAGCUAUAGCUAUGCUGUACAAAGGCUUAACUUUCUUUCACAGAGGCCUUUUAAAGGUAAAAAUAUUGUAAAACUUACCU